ACAGAGUGUAGCUUAAAUAAAGCCCUUCGUUUACACCGAAAUAAUGCCUAAUAAACCUGGGCCGCUCUG
rnacentral:tRNA from 1 species